UACAGAGGUCUCAAGCGUUGUUCGGAUUCAUUGGGCGUAAAGGGUGCGUAGGUGGCGCGGUAAGUCGGGUGUGAAAUCUCGGAGCUUAACUCCGAAAUUGCAUUCGAUACUGCCGUGCUCGAGGACUGGAGAGGAGACUGGAAUUCAUGGUGUAGCAGUGAAAUGCGUAGAUAUCGGGAGGAACACCUGCGGCGAAAGCGGCGCACUGGACCACAACUGACGCUGAGGCGCGAAAGCUAGGGGAGCAAACAGG
rnacentral:rRNA from 1 species